GUUUGUCUGGUGGUGGAAGGAGGGGGUGGCUGCGCCCGCCAUGCUGGGGCUCGUGUUUUUCUCUUCCGCUUCAGGCUUUGGUGAAAUGGGCUGAGGAAGGGGGAAUUGAACUGAGAGACUCCUUGUCCGUCCCCCAUUUCUUUCUUUUUUUUUUUUUUUUGAGAUGGAGUCUCGCUCUGUCGCCCAGGCUGGAGUGCAGUGGGACAAUUUUAGCUCACUGCAACCUCCGCCUCCCGGGUUCAAGCAAUUCUCCUGCCUCAGCCUCCCGAGUAGCUGGGAUUACAUGCGCCCGCCACCACACCUGGCUAAUUUUUGUAUUUUUAGUAGAGACGGGGUUUCACCACGUUGGCCAGGCCGGUACCGAACUCCCAACCUCAGGCGAUCCACCCGCCUCGGCCUCCCAAAGUGCUGGGAUUACAGGCGUGAGACACAGCGCCUGGCCUGUCCUUUUUAUGUAUUGCCAUAUUUUCUUUUCUUUUCUUUUCUGUGAGAUCCCUGUUGAGUUUUGUUAACAAGGCUAUGCUGAUAUAAUGUGUGGAGAAGUGUUCUCUCUUUUUCUAUUCUUUGAAAGUGCUAGUGUAGGAUUGAUGUUAUUUAUUUUUUAUGUGUUUGGAAGAAGUCACCAGCCAUCUGGACCUAGAGUUUUCUUUGUGGAAAGACUUUAAAUUACAAAUUCUAUUUCUUUUAUAAAAAUACAACUAUUCAGAUGUUCUAUUUUAUUUCUGGGUCUCACUCUGUUACGCAGGCUGGAGUACAGUGGCACAUUCUUGACUGACUGCAACCUCCACCUCCCAGGCUCAAGCGAUCCUCCCACCUUGGAUCUGUCCAGUCCAAUCACAUGAGCCCUUCAAAGCAGAGGACUGUCUCUGCCAGAAGAGGAAGGCAUACCAGAGAUGGGACACAAGGGGAAGUCAGAGUCCCGCCAUGAUACUGGGCUGUGGCUCUGGGAUGUCAGGUCCACCUGCAGUAACUGGAGAGAGGCCUCUUGGAGCUAAGCGUGGAAGCAUGGGUGGCCCCCAGCUGACAGCCAGCAAGAACGUGGGGACCUCAGUCCCACAAGCCCAGGAACUCGAUUCUGCUUAAAAUCUGAAUGAGCUUGAAAGCAGCUUCUUCCCAGAGCCUCCCAAUGAGAGCUCGGGUGGCUGACACCCUGUGAAACCCAGAGCUGAGGGCCAGCGGAGCCAUCCUGGAUUUCUGACCAGGAUGAUAUGUGAAAUAAUGCAUUUGUGUUGUUUUAAGUUGCCAAGUUUGUGCCCAUUUUUAUGGCAGUAACAGUACGGGGGCCAAGUAGAGAGGACUGGAGUGAAAGAGUUGGGGGCCGGGCACAGUGGCUCAAGCCUGUAAUCCCAGCACUUUGAGAGGCUGAGGUGGGAGGAUCGCUUGAGCCCAGGAGUUCAAGACCACCCUGAGCAACACAGGGAGAUCCCUAUGUUAAAUAAUACAACAAUUAGCUGGGCGUGGUGGCGCACACCUGUGGUCCCAGCUACUGGGGAGGCUGAGGUGAGAGGAUCACCUGAGCCUGGGAGGUCAAGGCUGCAGUGAGCUGUGAUUGUGCCACUGCACUCCAGCCUGGGUAACAGAGUGGGACCCUGUUCUCAAAAAAAAAAAAAAAGCAAAAAAAAAUAGCUGAGAGUUGGGAGUGCAGACAGGGCUGGAGGUGACAGGGUUGGGUGCUGAGUGGACAGAUGGGGCUACAGCACAGACAAUGCCUGAAUGAGAAAACCAAGCCUGGGAGACUUAGGCAAGAGCUAGCACAGCCAGCUCUCAUGCUCAGAGCUGGGACUGGGGGCCUUUGCCAUGG
rnacentral:lncRNA from 1 species